rnacentral:ribozyme from 1 species
AAAAAAAAGAAAGAAAAAAGAAAUAAAGAAAAAGAAAAGUAGAGUCCUCUUUU